rnacentral:misc_RNA from 1 species
GACACCAGUAGAUUAAAUGAAUCUUCAUGUAAAUAUGAUAAUCCACUUCUAUUUUGGCUCACAAAGGCAAGUAACAAUUGAGAUCCAGCUCUCUGAGCUCUUGCAUCAUGUUGCUCACAUGCAUCCUUCAGAAAUCUAAAGAGAGGAUCAACAAAAUUCUCAGAAGACAUAGAAUAACAUGAUUGAUUAUUAUAUUGCAAAUAGCUAUUGAUAUCUUCAACCAUUUUGCAUUGGGAGUCCCAAUUAAGCUCAGAAAGUCUAGUUAAAAACUCUGAGUCUGUCUCAAUUAUGGAUGCAUGAGACUGGAAUUGAAGGCAAUCCUCAGUUUUCCGAGUCAACAUCAAACUAGAUCCAUCUGCAAACCUAGUGCGUGAAGAGUCUGAACUGU